CAGGAUUAACGCUGGCGGCGUGCCUAACACAUGCAAGUCGAACGAAAUAUCUUCGGAUAUUUAGUGGCGAACGGGUGAGUAAUGUACAGGUAAUGUACCUUCGUACUGCGAAUAACAAGCUGAAAAGUUUGCUAAUACGGAAUAGUUUCAUUAGGGGGCAUCCUUUGAUGAAUAAAGAUUUAUCGUGCGGAGAUCAGCCUGUAUCCUAUUAGUUAGUUGGUGGGGUAAUGGCCUACCAAGACGACGAUGGGUAACUGGUCUGAGAGGAUGAGCAGUCACAUUGGAACUGAGAUACGGUCCAAACUCCUACGGGAGGCAGCAGUGAGGAAUUUUGCGCAAUGGGGGAAACCCUGAACCGCAGCAACGCCGCGUGAGUGAAGACGGCCUUCGGGUUGUAAAGCUCUGUCGUGUGUGACGAGUAGGGACGGUAACACACAAGGAAGCCUCGGCUAACUACGUGCCAGCCGCGGC
rnacentral:rRNA from 1 species